CAGCCGCCGCGGUAAUACGAGGGGGCUAGCGUUGCUCGGAAUUACUGGGCGUAAAGGGAGCGUAGGCGGACAUUUAAGUCAGGGGUGAAAUCCCAGAGCUCAACUCUGGAACUGCCUUUGAUACUGGGUGUCUUGAGUGUGAUAGAGGUAUGUGGAACUCCGAGUGUAGAGGUGAAAUUCGUAGAUAUUCGGAAGAACACCAGUGGCGAAGGCGACAUACUGGAUCAUUACUGACGCUGAGGCUCGAAAGCGUGGGUAGCAAACAGGAUUAGAGACCCCCGUAGUCCCUGUCUCUUAUACA
rnacentral:rRNA from 1 species